GAAAAGGCAGGGCCUCGUUGCCUAUUUUGUGAAUGAAGCUCUCGUAAACUUCAGGGAAGUCAUUUGCAUUGUUAUUGGGUGAACCUCUGUUGGUUUUUAUGGCCAAGGUUCAGUAAAUGAUGGCAUGGUU